AACGAACGCUGGCGGCAUGCCUAACACAUGCAAGUCGAACGAGACCUUCGGGUCUAGUGGCGCACGGGUGCGUAACGCGGGGGAACCUGCCCUUAGGUUCGGAAUAACUCCCCGAAAGGGGUGCUAAUACCGGAUAAUGUCUUCGGACCAAAGAUUUAUCGCCUUUGGAUGGGCCCGCGUUGGAUUAGCUAGUUGGUAGGGUAAAAGCCUACCAAGGCGACGAUCCAUAGCUGGUCUGAGAGGAUGAUCAGCCACACUGGGACUGAGACACGGCCCAGACUCCUACGGGAGGCAGCAGUGGGGAAUAUUGGACACUGGGCGAAAGCCUGAUCCAGCCAUGCCGCGUGAGUGAUGAAGGCCUUAGGGUUGUACAGCUCUUUUACCCGGGAUGAUAAUGACAGUACCGGGAGAAUAAGCUCCGGCUAACUCCGUG
rnacentral:rRNA from 1 species